GAGUUACUUCACAGAAACAUACCAGUGGAGUGGCGUUUCUUGCCUUUUGCACUCCGCCUUGCAUUCUACAAUGGCGGAUAUUAGAAAAUGGUUCAUGAAAGCACACGAUAAAGAGAACGGCAGUGGAUCAAAGAAAGCAAAACCCGCUCCAAGCAACUUAGAGAAAUCCGCUUCAGCUGAACUACAGUCCGGGAAAACAGGGCCGAGUGGUGGAGAAAGUACUGGCAGACGGAUAACUAGCAAGUAUUUUGCAUCAGAAAAGCAUAAGGACAAGGAUACAAAAGAAACAGAGGAACCCCCGAUCAAACAAAAGUCUCCACAGGAUCCUAAGGAAUCUCCAGCCAAAAGAAAGUUUCAAA
rnacentral:misc_RNA from 1 species